CCUACGGGAGGCAGCAGUGAGGAAUCUUGGUCAAUGGACGAGAGUCUGAACCAGCCAAGUAGCGUGAAGGAUGACUGCCCUAUGGGUUGUAAACUUCUUUUAUAAAGGAAUAAAACGAGGCACGUGUGCCUUUUUGCAUGUACUUUAUGAAUAAGGAUCGGCUAACUCCGUGCCAGCAGCCGCGGUAAUACGGAGGGUCCGAGCGUUAUCCGGAUUUAUUGGGUUUAAAGGGAGCGUAGAUGGGUUGUUAAGUCAGUUGUGAAAGGUUGCGGCUCAACCGUAAAAUUGCAAUUGAUACUGGCAGUCUUGAGUACAGUUGAGGUAGGCGGAAUUCGUGGUGUAGCGGUGAAAUGCUUAGAUAUCACGAAGAACCCCGAUUGCGAAGGCAGCUUACUAAACUGUGACUGACAUUGAUGCUCGAAAGUGUGGGUAUCAAACAGGAUUAGAUACCCGGGUAGUC
rnacentral:rRNA from 1 species